rnacentral:lncRNA from 1 species
UUUGGAUCAGCAACUCUCAGGCCACAGCCACUGGGUUAAUGACGACUGUAUACCUGCCACCUGAAGGAGUCUAAGAGAAGAUCAGCACUGGGACAGAAGCCGAAAUGAAAAAAGAAGCUCUGUGGAGAGGUCCACGUGGUAAUGAUCAGAAACCUCCUUCCCACAACUGUGUGAGUGAGCCAUCUUGGAAGUGGAUGUCCCAGUCUCAGUCAAGCCUCCAGAUGACUGUAACCCUGUGUGACAUCAUGACUGCCACCUCAUGAGAAAGCCCAAGCCAGAACCACCCAGCUAAGCUGCUCCUGAAUUUCUGAGGCACAGG